UCUUUCGCUCGCGCUAAAGCAGAGCAAAGAUGGCGUAGGAGCGGAGGGAGAAGGAAGGAGAGGACCUUCUUCUCUCCCCCUCGCCGUGUCCAGGAGAGGAGAGAAGGGGGUCCGCCACCGUGAAGCGUCCUGUGAGACUGCGGAGUCGUCUCAUGGGAGUAAACAACCUGGCUGUCCUGCAGGUGAAGAGGACCCUGAAUGUGUCACCGCAGAGGAAGGAUCCCCCCCGGCUUUUGUUUACCAUUGUGUGCGGCUGCAGCAGCAGCAGCAGCUCAGAGGAGCAGAGGAAAUGUUUCUACAUCAUUUCACACUCAGUGAAACCGAUUUUUACAGGUGGAGAGAUGGAGCCGAUCCCGGGAGAAGACCCAGAACCGCCGCUUCUGCCGAGCCCAAGGGAACUGCAGCUAAGCUAACCCCCUUUUGGGGUCCUCACUCUCCUCCCGCUGCCUUUCCUGCUGUUUUCUGGGACACUGGAUAUCUCUCUCUUGUCCACAGCACUCCCAUUUGUCCUGACCUCUUUCUGCAGCCCAAUCAUCAGAGAGGAACGCUCGCAGCAUUUCGGAUUUACAAAGAUUUAAAGUCGUCCAGCUUCGGACAUAAAAACUAUAACAUAAAGCCUGGUGUACUGACACCUGUUUAAUUUGCUUAAAGAAAUGGGUGAUUUCUGGGUGACGCCUAUGUAAACGGAGUUGCUUUUCAACCGCACAAGAGGUUUGAUAAUGAGUAAACUAUAUGUGUUUUUUUCCGAAGAACCUAAAGACACAACAUACUGUAGCAAAUAUCAAACGCCUGUGAUACAAAUUAAGAUUUGUUGAUUCAUUUUCCUUUUCUUUUCAACUACCUCAUUGCCACAGUAAGUCCAAUGGGAUCGAGAGGAGCGUUUUCUGAACAAAGGCGUUACGGAGCACCUCAGCAGUCAUUUUUGUCUGUCCAUCAAUGUUUCAGUAUCGAAGUCAGGGAGUUGGCAGGAGAGCAGAACGUAAAUAUGCUGUUGCUUAUAUUCAGGUAUGAUGAGACAACUGCUUUCAUUUAACCAGAAAUAUUUAGGUCGCUGAAAAUGUACAGCUAAAUUUGGACUCCUAAUAAGCAGGGGGAAAAACCAAAGUCCCUGCCAGAUUACAGUGUGCAGCAACGUGUGGGGAAGGGUCGUGGCUAGACAUCUCUGUUCAGAGCUCUUUGUCUGGCAUCUCGUUAAAAGCAUUUUUGUGUUUCUUAAAUUCAGUCUUUAAAAUUUUAUUUGCAACCGAAAUUUAUUUCCAUCUUGCUGCCGUUUUUCUGGAGGGGGAUGAGAUUGGUUAUGUAAUAGUGAUGCAUCACGGAAAUUCGGGAAGUUUAGAUGAAGCAGAGAAUGAGUGAAGUCGGCGGUAAAUAUCGGUUAUCGCCCAAAAUGGCAGUAUUAAUAUCGGGGAUUGGUAUCAGCCCAAAAGUUCCCUUCGGUGCAUCCCUACUUCGUACCUUGAUGCUAAUAUCCAGCUCACGCCUGGCCAAGUCUGCAUAGCGUCAAGAGUUUACGUCUCACACUUCUUGCAGCUUACAAAUGGCUUCCCCGCUUUAGUUCAUUUCAUUUUUUUGCCACAUACAUGUAUAGGGAAAACAACGACAUCAGAAUUACUCUUUACCGGGAUCUGUGCAAUAUUUGAUCUUAACUGUCAUGUUGUUGACCAAACUGUAUAUUGUAUAAAACAAGUGACAAGUUGUUUGAAAGCAACAAAAUCACCAAUGUCUUCCAUUAAGAUAUGUAUAGACUCAUGUGCGUUAGCUUAUUUAGCGGGACUGUGGUGCCAAAAAAACAUCAUAGUAGCCAUGCAUGACCAGUAGUAAUGCUUGCUUCAUCAAGAGUAUCGGUUUUGUAGGCCGAGCUGAAGCUCAAAUCUGUGGAGUCCAUUUCAGUAAAAACUAGGGAGCAUUAGCCUCACAUACUUAAAAACCUCUAGGUACAUCAAAUUUAGAUACCGCUUUAACCUGAAAUCUAGUGCUUGAGCUCUGUUUUAAGGCAUGUAUAUGCUAGUAGGAAAUAUAUAGCAUGACACAGUUGGGAUGCACCAUUACAAAGAGGUGCACCAAACAUAAUUUUGUGGCUUUUGUACGUCUUUGACCUGCCGACAUCGAUUUUAGUCUUUUAUGACUUCUCUUGAACUGUAACAUGAAAUCAUGACUGCGUUCAAAAUAUUUCUCGUCAUCCUGUCGUGAUUGGAGAUAGAUUGUGUACAGCGAGAGCCGAGGCCGUGUCACAUUGUCUGUGAAAGAGGAGUCGCUGUAGAAUAGGGUUUGCAAGUAUUUUAGUGAAGUUUAAGGAUGUCUGAUUUUAGUUCUUACCAUUGUUAGCGUAGCUAGCGUUACAGAAACAGCAUAUCUGUUACUCGCUUAUUAGCUGUUAAGGUUUAAAGCUCUGUAAGAUAGCAACCUUGUCCACUCUGUUCAGCCUUCCUGUUUUCUGCUGCAGUCUGGCUCUCUCUCGCCAGACUGCCGCCGUUGAGAGAGCUGUACACUAUGAAUGAGUCACAGACGACAGCUGCAUUCCCAUGAACCAUAUAAUUGCACAAAUUGAUAUUUUUAAAAUAAAUUAGCUUAAUGGAAACACGGCACUUUCGAAGAAGCUCUCGUUUUUUGAUAAAAAGUUGUCUCUAGGAUGAGGCGCCUUUCUGACCGUAGAGAAAUUGUUUUUUUUGCAAAACUGCAGUGGAAAUACUAUUUUCAAAUCACCCGAGUCACAUGAUGAACAAACAUAUUAACAUGUGAUAUUGAUUGCGUUUCAUAUUUAAUGUAAACUUUUUUUAAAAAGUCAUUCGCAUAAUAUCAACAACAUUUUGCGCACAUUUGGAAUGGAAACGUAGCUUACGGUGAAUUCGCUGAGUUUGGAUCUCUUGGUGCACCUCUGCAUGAGUUAAUGUUUGUUUUUUUUCUUUUUUUAGACCACAUUGUGGUCUGUAAAGUUUUAACAUAAGAGCCAAAACUUUUUUUUCGAGAACCUUUACAGCAGUGAUUUUAGGAGGAGGACCUCAAGUCCCCAACUCAGCAUCCUGCAUAGGUGGUGCUGCUAGUCCUCAUUGCAAAAUUGUACAAGUGACCUCAUAGUUUUGGGAUUCAGAACAUUCUAUUUUAAUCCACAUAAUUGUAUUUAAUUAGAAUUUUUAGAAGCAAUAACCUGAAAUAAUGCAUGAAUAUAGCUCCAGGAGUUGGUGUUAAAAGGACUGUGUUAACAUCUCAUUGAAAAUCCCCCCCUUUCUCUUGCUCUCUGCCUUUGAACUCGCAACAUUAGCCACCUACUUCCUUUUAUUGCAUCUUUACUUUUUAGCCUGAUUUAGUUUCAGUCGUUGCUGAACAUGGAAAAGGCUUUAAAUUUGAACUCUUGUAGCAUCCACAAAGACCCUCUCCUCGUCUGCGAGUUGCAGACUUUAAAGUAACUGGCUGAACGACGCUCACGUGAAAAGCACUUUCUCUCCACGUACUGACUUGCAGCGCCCAUCGUCACCGUCACGUCCUGAACGCUGUGUUCCGGCAACCCUGUCAUGUUCUUUCUGGUGAUUCAUAAUCCCAAUUUAUGAGCAAGUAGACGUCCAGGUGAUAUGAAUUUGUGGGUUUAAAAAAAAAAAUAUGCAUGAUUUAGCAGAAUAACGAAUGACUUGUAUUGCAUGCAAUAACCUAAUCUUGUAAUGUGAAUGAGUGUAAUUAUAGGGGGUGUGGGGGGGGGAGUAUUAUGAUUCUCCAAUCCAACUGAAGGUAAUACCGACAGUUUUAUCGAUUAGAUAUAUAUAUAUCAUUAAAAGAAAAAUGGAAAAGUUAGUUUUUUUCCUGUUGUGUCACAUGCAACCUGGCAGUACCACUACAGUGCAGCUCUGCAGUUCUUGUUCCCAUGAGGAAAACUUAACAAAAGCUUUGGCAAGAUUUCUGAAAUUUACUUUGUUGCUCAACUUUUCCACUGAGAUAGUGGGCUGUAUAGGAACUAUGCACUACAGAGGGAGGAAAUGGGCAUGCCUAAUAUGUGUACGCCUCUUGUCUGGUUUUGUAAUAAAUGAAUAAAAAAAAUAAAUAAAUCUGUAUCAGAAAAAAUUAAGCAAUAAACAGCAGCAUGGUGCCAAUUGAA